CCUACGGGCGGCAGCAGUGAGGAAUAUUGGUCAAUGGGCGCGAGCCUGAACCAGCCAAGUCGCGUGAGGGAAGACGGUCCUAUGGAUUGUAAACCUCUUUUGUCGGGGAGCAAAAGACGCCACGCGUGGCGUUCCGAGAGUACCCGAAGAAAAAGCAUCGGCUAACUCCGUGCCAGCAGCCGCGGUAAUACGGAGGAUGCGAGCGUUAUCCGGAUUUAUUGGGUUUAAAGGGUGCGCAGGCGGAAGAUCAAGGAAGCGGUAAAAUUGAGAGGCUCAACCUCGUCGAGCCGUUGAAACUGGUUGUCUUGAGUGAGCGAGAAGUAUGCGGAAUGCGUGGUGUAGCGGUGAAAUGCAUAGAUAUCACGCAGAACUCCGAUUGCGAAGGCAGCAUACCGGCGCUCAACUGACGCUCAUGCACGAAAGUGUGGGUAUCGAACAGGAUUAGAUACCCCUGUAGUC
rnacentral:rRNA from 1 species